CUCAAGCUCCAACCCUACGUACAAUCGACGGUGGCCAAUCUCCCCUGCCCCAAGCUCGCCUACAAGUUCAUUGGCCCCUUCAAGGUUCUGCAAUGCAUUGGCACCAUGGCCUACAAGCUCCAGCUGCUAGAGGGCAGUCGUAUCCAUCCUGUCUUCCAUGUGUCACAGCUGAAGCCGUUCACGCCAGAUUACUCACCAGUUUUGUCUGAGCUGCCCCGCACACCUGACCUCACCGUGGCUCCACUCCAACCUGUCGCCAUCUUGGAUCGCUACAUGGUCAAGAAGGGAAACAACCCCGUGGUACAGGUACGCGUUAAGUGGUCAUCGCUCUCUAUGGAGUCUGCAACCUGGGAAGAUUACAAUGUGAUGCGCCAUCGCUACCCAGCGGCACCAUGCUGGACCGAAGACACUGUAGCUCAUGGAGGGGCAACUGUCACACCUGAUACAAGUGUAUCGGUGGACACAUGA
rnacentral:rRNA from 1 species